AGUGAUCAGAGUCAGAGAUCGAACAUUCUACCCAUCCUAAAAAGCCUCGGCAUCCAUCCAAAAAAGUGUAUGAUCAAUGGUAUAAUUAAAGCAGAAUAAAUAUUGGAGAUGUGUUAAACAGAUUUCAAACCGAAUGCUGAGUUGGCUAAUUUUCUCCUUGACAGGGUCAGAAAGCUCUCGGAUUUCAUCAAAACUUUGUGUUCCGAAAAUGAACAAAGGUCUUACAGGUUCGGAACCACAUGAGGAUCUCUUCAAGCAAACAAACAAUACAGCUGGCCUAGCAACUUUACCACGGCACCAAGAGGAUAAAACUUUUCCCACCUCACCAUCAUAUCAGCACAAUGCCUUGCCAUCCCAAGCAAUAAUAUAAACAACAGUGUUGUUGUUGUUUUUUUAAAGUUCACACUGAAAAAUGUUUUGCU